CUGGCGCUCGGGGCGGCUCCGGUAUCGCCCUGUCGUAGCUCGGAGCAGCACAUUGCAUUCCGUGGACUGUAAUGGGCUAGGCCCGUCCCUAGUGGGUGGCUCCACAGCUCAAUUUCUGAUCAGCGGCUUGUGCUUGCGCGGCCGCUAUCUUUCUAUGACGCAUUUUUACAAGGUUUCUUGUCAGGAGCUAGUUUGCCAUUUUCUAGCCUGUAGAUAUUUCAGUAUUGUGAUAUGUCAUGGUUUUGUAUUGUUUAAAACGGUGAUCCGUCAUUGUAGCAUUCAGAGCUGUAUGAAUUCUUGUAGGAGGCGUGUCUUAUGUCCACCAAUAGAUAGAUCCAGUGCUGCCACUGCUACAGACGACUGGUGAUCUUCCAUAAGUAUCUAAGUACUGCCUAGUAGCUUGCAGCAUUCACGACAAGACAGACUCCAGUGUCGUUAGAUGGCUGGUAUGUUAAAAGCCAGUGAUACAUCAGAAAUCGGUUAUUGCGGAGGAGGAGCGCCACUGAAUACGCAUCGCUUUUUCAACGAACUAACAACAGGAUUGAUUAGUACCGUCGUUGCUUUUGAUUUUUCUUGUUUCUAGCCUUCUAGGUGCUCAUUCAUAGAUGUCAUUCAUACAUUAGCAGCCCACCUGAACGUAUGGAGAAAACGUUUCAGCAACCUCCAACAGGUAAAAGGGUUGUAUUGCAGCAUUUGACAUCAAGACUAUUUCACAUUUGCUGUUAUAGACAUUAUAUAUGUAUUGCUCUAGUGUGUACCCAAAGCGAGAGAAAUCUGAAAGCUAUCGCAUUCAAAAGUCUUCUGUCGGCUGUUGGCGUUAUUAGUGAGCCGCUUCGGAGGAAGGAGCGGAGAUUGACGGAAGGGAAAGGAUAGGGCAAUGAAAUGUCCAUCCCAGUUUGUCUCUGUUGACGUCUGUCGUCUCGCGACUGAUUUGCAGUUUUCGGUCAUUGACAGCAUGAGAGAAAGAGAAGUACUUUCUCCUAUGUAACUGGUGUCUUUUCAAGACGCAGUGUCUGAGUAGCAUGAUGGGCUAAACUGCUGGCGAUCCCGGUUGGUGUUGCACCCGCCUGACCCAGCCAACUGUCCUGACCCGGUAGUGUCAACUCACAUCCGAGAGCAGUUUUUAGUUCUGUCUUCGUCAGGUGAAUGUUUUUGAAGACCGCUGCCUUACUGCUGGUAUAAAACGCCUUAGUCAACCGCCUUCAACAAGCAUGGAUUUUCAUGAGGAUGCGCAUCCCGGAAUGACACGACAUUUUGCAGCAACUGUUCACAUGUGUUUCUCUGGCAAAGGUGCACGACAAUCCUCCCCGAAUUCUCGUUAGGCGGCAUCAGAACUUCAAAAUGGAAAGCUGUAUCCGAGAGCGGAACGACUGUGUUCCUGCCGUGCGCGUCGGUGACAGUAGUGCCCUAAACGUAGGAUGUGCAGUACCUGUAGAUCGACUUGAAAAAAACAUUUUUUAAGUGUGCACUCCGUUCCACAUGAUGGCGCUGAUGCCGCUCUGUUGACCCGUGAUCGAGAUACAGCAGAAAAGGCACGUUCCUGCCCGUUACGAGAGGCACAGAGAAAGCCUACCCAGCGAAGAAUUCUGCUUCAUCUGUCAUCGAGAGAAUUGAAUCAUUUUUCAGAGAGUUCUUUUGUCCAUGGCGACACUGAAUUGGUUCUUCACAUGCGGAAACAGAGAAUGACUGGAGAAAAGAGGGAGGCUGGAUGAAUCUAUUUCUGCUCCCUCUACAUUUCUUGGCAGGAUUUGGCUACCCUUUCCCUAUAUUUUUGUUUACUUUCCAUCUUUUGUUGUGCCCCUUCAAUGAACUAACGAAAGAACAACGAAGAAGGGGCGCCUUCCACUCCUCCCUCCCUUCCCCCUCCACUCGGAGUUCGCUUUUUCCCUCGCAAUUUCGUGAUUCCUUCCUUUAUUCUUUUCACAACCUUUGGAAGGAAAAACCCCUUUGUGAUUUCACAGGGAACCUGCUAGCAACGCAUGUGAUUUAAAAUUGGGAAUUUGUUUGCUUUCGCAUGCAUAUAUAUAUAUAUACACAAAUAUGUGUACAUCAAGCAUAUUUAUACGUCCACAUAUUUAUACACCAGCGGACAAAUACGAUUUUUGCUUUGAUAUGUGUUAUAUAUAUAUAUAUAUCCCCUCCAUGUAAAGGACUAGCAGGUUAUACGUUGUCCCUGUUCAUACGUAACCAAACAAAAAGUCAAAAUAGCUUUAAUAAUAAAUUCUUCCGUUCAGGAAAAAAUUUCUGAGCGUGAUGGGCACGCGAUGUUUUCGCAGUAUAAGAAUUCGACUGAUCAUGAGAACGCAUACAACAACCGUGGGACAAACUACAGCAAUAAUGAGUUCCACCGGAUCUUUCGGAAAUACUAG
rnacentral:lncRNA from 1 species